GAAGAUCUAGAUAGUCAGGCCUGCUCACUGACUAAAUUUGUUUAAGAGCCGCGGUAUCCUGACCGUGCAAAGGUAGCAUAAUCAUUAGUUUUUUAAUUGAAAACUGGUAUGAAAGGUUAGACAAGAAAAAAGCUGUUUCAAUUAUAACUUUUGAAUUUAACUUUUAAGUGAAAAGGCUUAAAUUACUUAGAGGGACGAUAAGACCCUAUAAAGCUUUAUAUAAAUAUUAAAAUUGAUUGAAGUUGUAUUAAAAGUUAAUAAUAAGUAAUAUAUUUUGUUGGGGCGACACGAGUAUAAUUUUUGUAACUGCUUAUGUUAAUAAUCAUCUAUUGAUGAAUAAAUUUUAGAUGACCCUAUAUUAUAGAUUUAAAGGUUAAGUUACUUUAGGGAUAACAGCGUUAUUUCACUUGAGAGUUCUUAUCGAAAGUGAAGUUUGCGACCUCGAUGUUGAAUUAAAGUUUCUGUAUAAUGUAGCCGUUAUA
rnacentral:rRNA from 1 species